rnacentral:rRNA from 1 species
UACGAAGGGGGCUAGCGUUGCUCGGAAUCACUGGGCGUAAAGGGCGCGUAGGCGGCUGUACAAGUCAAAGGUGAAAUCCCUCGGCUCAACUGAGGAACUGCCUUUGAAACUGUACGGCUUGAGGCCGGGAGGGGGUAGCGGAAUUCCCAGUGUAGCGGUGAAAUGCGUAGAUACUGGGAGGAACACCAGUGGCGAAGGCGGCUACCUGGACCGGUUCUGACGCUGAGGCGCGAAAGCGUGGGUAGCAAACAGG